rnacentral:tRNA from 1 species
AAGUUUAGGUUAGCCAAACCAAGGGCCUUCAAAGCCCUAAACAGGGCCCGGGCCCUAACUUCUG